UUUUUUUAUUGGGUGAGGGUGUUGAUUAUUAGAUAAAGAACCAAUAUUUUUGGUGAUUCAUAAUAACUUUGCGGAUCACGUUAUGUGACAUAUCAUUCAAGUUUCUGACCUAUCAGCUUUAGACGGUAGGGUAUUGGCCUACCGUGGCUAUGACGGGUAACGGGGAAUUAGGGUUCGAUUCCGGAGAGGGAGCCUGAGAAACGGCUACCACAUCUAAGGAAGGCAGCAGGCGCGCAAAUUACCCAAUCCUAAUACAGGGAGGUAGUGACAAGAAAUAACAAUACAGAACCUCACGGUUUUGUAAUUGGAAUGAGUUAAGUAUAAACCCCUUAACGAGUAUCAAUUGGAGGGCAAGUCUGGUGCCAGCAGCCGCGGUAAUUCCAGCUCCAAUAGCGUAUAUUAAAGUUGUUGCAGUUAAAAAGCUCGUAGUUGAUUUUCUGUUAAUUUUUAUGUAUAAUAUUGCGAUAUUUACAUAAUAUUAACAUAAUUCACAUUACUUUACAGUAUGUGGAAUUUUACUUUGAGAAAAUUAGAGUGCUUAAAGCAGGCUAUUGCCUUGAAUACUCCAGCAUGGAAUAAUAUUAAGGAUUUUUAUUCUUCUUAUUGGUUCUAGAAUAAAAAUAAUGAUUAAUAGGAACAGUUGGGGGCAUUUGUAUUUAACAGUUAGAGGUGAAAUUCUUAGAUUUGUUAAAGACAAACUACUGCGAAAGCAUUUGCCAAGGAUGUUUUCAUUAAUCAAGAACGAAAGUUAGGGGAUCGAAGACGAUCAGAUACCGUCGUAGUCUUAACCAUAAACUAUGCCAACUAGACCUUGAAAUUGGGGGUUUUUUUUUUCUCACACCCCCUUUAAAAAAAAA
rnacentral:rRNA from 1 species